rnacentral:lncRNA from 1 species
AGUCUAGUCUGUGACCUGAGCCAUCAUGGUAGGGUGUCCAGGGUGAGGGGAGGGUGGUGUGAAUCCCCAGUAAUGCAGGUCCUUUCCAGGCCAGGCCCCUGGUCCCCAGGAGUGCGGGGAUGCCUGAGGUCUACUGCUGCCUUAUCCAGAGCUGCCAUCCCCGGCGAUGACUCAGAGUUCCUGUGGCCCCAGCAUCAUCCCUCCAUCCCUGGCUGUGAGGCAGGAGCAGAGUUGCAGACCUGAGAGGCCUUGAAUUUGUUUGAUAUAGGACUUUGCCACCAGACAAAGUGCUUUGCCUGUGAGGUCUGGCUUGGCCUGGCCUCUGAGAAAGAACAAACACAGACCUCACUGGAAGGAACCUGGAGAACGGGAGAGGAGAGGCUGCUGCUGUCUGCCCUCCCAGCAGCAGAUAUAAAGACAAUGGGCUUCUAAGUCCCCUAGAGUCCCAGCUGUGUAAUUUAAGGCAAAUAUAAUUUCUGACCUACGUAAUGAUGUAUGCACAAGAAGCCUCUCUUGAAUGUAUUAAUUCAGUAAACAGUUAUGGAGUCCUUACAAUGUGCUAGUGGGACUUUGAAGAUGAAUCCAAAUUUGGAUCCUGGCCUGGAAAGGCUCAAAGCCCAAUAUGGGAGCCUGGAUACAAAUGUGAAACUUAUCUUCUUUUAUUAACCAAUCAAUCACCUCCUGCCAAAACAACAUCAGCAAAAACAACAGA